UACGUAGGGCGCAAGCGUUGUCCGGAAUUAUUGGGCGUAAAGAGCUCGUAGGCGGUUUGUCGCGUCUGCUGUUGAAAGCCCGGGGCUCAACCCCGGGCUGCAGUGGGUACGGGCAGACUAGAGUGCAGUAGGGGAGACUGGAAUUCCUGGUGUAGCGGUGAAAUGCGCAGAUAUCAGGAGGAACACCGAUGACGAAGGCAGGUCUCUGGGCUGUUACUGACGCGAAGGAGCGAAAAGCAUGGGGAGCGAACAGGAUUAGAUACCCCGGGUAGUCC
rnacentral:rRNA from 1 species